UGAUACGGCUAUGCAUCAUCAGGGGGAGAGAUUCUGUCUUAAGCCGUUUGUAGUUUGAAGAACUUUGGGACCCGGGAAGUCUCGGCGGACUCCGGAGAGACUCAUGGGUGGCUCGUAUCGUGCCGGGGCGUCAUUAUUUCGCAAACGGCGAAUUGUUUAACUUUAAUGGUGUCCGUUUAUUAGAUUGGGUUGGACCCACAUGCUCGUCCACUAAGACAGACAGGAUCACAGCAUGGACUGGGAACAAAGUUACUUUUCAAAGGGACCAAGCCUCUGCUUACAUAAUGCACACCAGGGUCGGGUUUUCCCUAUGUUUUAUUCAAAAGUGUAAAUUUUUCCGUCUGCCAUAGGCUUUAGCGUCUUUUCCAUAAAAAAACUGCUUGGCUUAUGAUCGGGAGGCGAUGGCUGCAUUUCGUCAGUGUUGGAUGUCUUGUUGCAAGUCGUGAUUUCAAGCCCAUUUUAAGUGGGUAUGAGCGGCCGAUUUGCGACAGCGGUCGAUGGACACAUUGCGAUCGUCUAGAAACAUCCCGAUCAUCUUACGCCUGCUUUCGAAUCAGGACGUAUUACGCCGCAAUAGCAAGUCUCAUCCAGAAUACAGUUUCCCCCCAUUUUUUAGAAGUUCUACAGCUUCUGCAUUUAUUGUUGAAAGUAAGUGAGGUGGAGGAGUGGAUGGCUCAGUGCUGAUGUGCUGCCUGUCUGGGCGUCAGACUCCCCCCCGCAGUAGUAGUGCCCCCUGCAGGAUGUCAGUGGCGUGGAGUUUGCUGUACUUGUGGGCUGUGAUGGCUCACAUGUCCCAGGCCAGGCCAGGCAUCACCGACCAAGCCCCCCACGAGCUGUCCCCCGAUGCGGAGCAGUACACUUUGUACCCUGGGGAUCAUUUAGUACUGCGCUGCCCUGCUGUGGAGGAGGAGGAGGGGGAGGGGGCAGUGGCUGUGACGACGCCGGCAAUUGGCUGGACAAAGGACCAGGUGGCCAUUCAUGAUGGGGAUCACACUCGCUUGCGGAAUGGUCGGCUGGAGAUCGAGGGGGUGGAGCCAGCUGACUCUGGGAUGUAUGGCUGCCUUGCCAUAGGGCCUUGGGGAAAUGGCAGUGCCCUGUUUGCUGUCAACGUCUCAGUGGACAACCUGGCCUCCUCUGAAGAUGAGGAUGAUGAUGAAUCCUCCUCAGAAGAGAACAAGCUUCUCAGUACUCAGAAGCUUCCACCUAUGGCCCCACAGUGGGCCCAGCCAGAGAGGAUGGAAAAGAAACUGCAGGUCGUGCCUGCCAGCAAGACUGUCAGGUUCCGAUGUCAGGCAAGCGGCAACCCCAACCCCAUGCUCAAGUGGUUCAAGAACGGCAAGGAGUUUAAGAGGGAUCAGCGCAUUGGCGGUUUCAAGGUUCGUGACCAUAUGUGGACCAUAAUUAUGGAAUCUGUCGUGCCCUCAGACAAAGGGAACUACACCUGUGUGGUGGAAAAUAAGUACGGCAGCAUCAACUAUACCUACCAACUGGAUGUCGUGGAGCGCUUGCCACAUAGACCCAUCUUGCAGGCCGGACUUCCAGCCAACCGAACUGUUGUGGUGGGCAGCGACGUGGAAUUUGAGUGCAAGGUUUUCAGCGACGCCCAGCCACACAUCCAAUGGCUGAAGCACAUCAAGGUGAACGGCAGCCGAGCGGGACCUAACGGCCAGCCCUACGUACGCGUGUUGAAGCAUUCGGGGGUCAGUAGCUCGGACACCCAGGUGCUGACGCUCUACAAUGUGACAGAGGAGGAAAGUGGGGAGUAUGUUUGCAAAGUGUCCAAUUAUAUAGGAGAGGCCAAUCAGUCGGCCUGGCUGACCGUCAUCCAGAAGGGGGCUCAAGCCAAACCUCCAUCUCCAGUGCCCAGCCAGACCUACCUGGAGGUGCUCAUCUACUGCGUGGGCUUCUUCCUUAUCUCUGUCAUGGUGGCCAUCACUGCAAUUUUCAAGAUGCGCAGCACGUCCAAGAAGGGCGCCUUUGGUGACCAGCUGGCUGUGCAGAAACUGGCGAAGAGCAUCCCCCUGCACAGACAGGUAUCCGUGGACUCCAGCUUUUCUCUCCAUUCAGCGGCCAUGCUUGUGCGUCCGUCGCGUCUCUCCUCCAGUGGCACUCCAAUGCUCUCGGGGGUGUCGGAAUACGAGUUACCCCAGGACCCACGCUGGGAGCUCCCUAGGGAGAGGCUGGCCCUGGGAAAGCCCCUCGGAGAAGGCUGUUUCGGGCAGGUGGUCAUGGGAGAGGCCAUUGGUCUGGAUCGGGAGAAGCCCAACUGCGUGACCAAGGUGGCAGUCAAGAUGCUGAAACCCGAUGCUACGGAAAAGGACCUGUCAGACCUGAUCUCAGAAAUGGAGAUGAUGAAGAUCAUUGGCAAGCAUAAGAAUAUCAUCAACUUGCUUGGGGCCUGUACCCAAGACGGGCCCCUGUAUGUGAUCGUGGAGUAUGCAUCAAAGGGCAACCUCCGUGAGUACCUGCGUGCACGCCGCCCCCUAGGCAUGGAGUACUGCUACAAUUCAGACCAGGUGCCUGUGGAGGAGAUGUCCAUCAAAGAUUUGGUCUCCUGUGCCUACCAGGUGGCACGAGGCAUGGAGUAUUUAGCCUCGAAAAAGUGCAUCCACAGGGACCUGGCUGCCCGCAACGUCUUGGUGACAGAGGACAGUGUCAUGAAGAUCGCAGACUUUGGCCUCGCCCGAGACAUUCAUCACAUUGACUAUUACAAGAAGACCACUAAUGGCCGCCUUCCGGUAAAAUGGAUGGCACCAGAAGCCUUGUUUGACCGGAUCUACACACACCAGAGCGACGUGUGGUCAUUUGGGGUUCUCCUGUGGGAGAUCUUCACACUGGGUGGCUCACCGUACCCAGGGGUUCCUGUGGAGGAACUCUUCAAGCUGCUGCGAGAAGGUCACCGCAUGGACCGGCCGUCCACCUGCACUACAGAGCUGUACGUAGCUCUUGUUAAAUGUCAAAACUAAGAUUGAAAAGAAUUAUUAUUUUGAUAAUCGAUUUAAUGAAAUUAUUAUGCUAUCGACUAAUUGAUUAAUUGGGUCAAAGAGAUGCUUUGUUUAAAAAAAUAUAUAUAUAAACUACAGUAUUGAGACAGAAUGGCAUAGAAACAAAGAUUCACUGUCUCUGUUUUGCAUAUUUGUUUGCUAGCAAUCAUAUUUUAUACCGCAGUAUAUGGUAUUUUUAUGAUAUUUUCAAAAAUAACAUUAUUCUAGCAUUUUGCAAUCUUGGCAGUUACAUUCACCAUACAGGGGUUCCCAGCUAAUUUUGUCGCGAAGAUUUCAAAAUACCGUUGUAUGCUGUAUUACCACCCGAGCCUAGUAGCAACUUUGAAACUGUUUAUAAGAAGUUUACCCAUUUCACUACACUCCCUGCUUAUAUUUGUGCUUAUUGCAAUACAUCUGCCCUCUGCUGGUCUGGUGAAACGCCAAAGCCGUAUGCGGCCGUCUGCAGCCGCUGACAAAUGCAGUACAGCUGAGUCUGCUCGCACCUCCACGUGUGGCACACGAAAAAGUGAAAGCCUGACACACCAACAUUAACGUUGCUAGAUGGUGAUGUAAUUUUUCGGAAUUUAUGUAACAAACCGCAAAAAUGCAAGCAAUCAAUGACAAAAUUUUUUGGCGACUAUUUUAAUUAAUAAUUAUUUUUGACGUUAUUGGUUAGUUGUCGCAACCCUAGUCACACCGUACUGCAGUUGAGUAUUAACCUCAUUUUAUAAAACUUUAAUUGUUAAACUGACUACUAGCAUUUCUCUUCUUAUAUCCCUGCUGUCUCCCCUU